UAAGGGCCCAUAAAUUCAAGGUAUGUUAGCAAAUGCUGCUCUAUUGACCCCUAAUAGGCUUAACUGUCUUUAGCGCGUGUCUCUACGAGUUCUUUAAAGCACUGCGCAUGCUGUUGGGUCCUGAAAGCAACGAACGUGACCGCAACGUCUUGUUGCCUCUCUAUAAUAUCUUCUUAUUUUUAAUAAGAGUAUUUACCUGAGGCUAUUUUAAAACUAGACGGACCGCUGUUUCUUUCUUAAACCAGAGGAAGGUUGCGGCAAUAACAGGUCUGUGAUGCCCUUAGAUGUUCCGGGCUGCACACGUGCUACAAUGAUCAGUACAGUGAGCAUCUCAAUUUUAUAACACCGUAUUAAGCGCUUGGGUCGUAAUUGUUAGGCCUUUUGGGUUUUUUCAAUUGCGUUUCUCCAAUGCGCACGGUAAAGCCUGCUUCGAGAGUAAGUGGGUAAUCCAUUGGAAGUAAUGAUUUCCUUAUUUUUAUAAACAGCACACCAAUAUACGGCAUUCAUUCCCGAGACGGCUUAGUUCCGACUUUGUGCGAAUGUAAUGUAUUCUUAUCCGUAUGUGCGAUUGUCAAUUCAUGGUGGGGACAGACCAUUGUUAAUUGUUGGUCUCGGUCUUAA
rnacentral:rRNA from 1 species